UUCAUCAAUCUCUUUAGCCGCGAUCUUUUCCUAGGAGCUGCCUUACUACUGGCUUUCAAACAUAUACUAUCAAUAACACGAAAAAACCGUAUCCCUUAAGGCAACAUCAAUAGGUACUAGAUGUUAAAAUAAGGAGUAACUUGACUCUUUUCGGCUUCUAAAAUCUCUUUGAUCACAAGACAUGAGCACGAGCCACACACAAGCAUUCAUAACUGCAAGACACCUAACGAACCCUCAGUUGUUUGACUCUUCAUUGCCCCAAUAUAGGUAUUCGGAGAAACUAACUUUGUUGGGUUUGGCAUUGGGAUAAACCUUCCACGGCCAAUUCUGUAUAUCAGCCAUUUGCAAUUUUGCAUUUUCGUUGGAGAAAUUUGCAGCCCACUAGCUUUCUCAGGAGUGCUUCAGAUUAUGCCUGCGAUUUCUUGCACAACUCUCGAGGCAUCAACCAUGUAAUAUCCAUGAUUCAAGGCAGACACAUGCUAGGUCAAACAGGAAAAAGACACUCACUAAUUACCCCUUUUGCAGGAAAUGUAAUGGCAUAGGCUCUCUACAGCAAGUAAUGUACUUAGCAAAAGGAUUCUUGGUGAGUGCCAUUUUCUGCAGGGAAUUCUAGUUAUGAACUAACAUAACCAAAAGCUUCAGCAGAAACAGUACUUUCAGUACAAAGAACCAUCGAAUAUAACAUUGAUUUUUCAGAGCAGAUUUGUGAUGCACAAAAACGGGUCCCAUAGCAGCACCGAUAAGAAAUACGACCACAUACAAAAGAAAACUAGAGUCACGACAGAGCAGGGAUCCCUCAUUUAGAAUCUUCUCAGAGUUUCUCCAAUUCUCUUCCGAGUCUACCAAAGUAGAUAGCCUAUUGCAUUCUAGCAAGUACAAAUGAUAAUCGAAGUGUAUAAAGAUUGCCCAUUUCCUCGUUAAUUCAAUUAAAAUCCAUUGUUUCCCCAUACUAACCAGACAGACCAUCUCCUUCAUCCUUAAUCAUAUUUUAAGAGCAGAAAAAUUAACUAAUACAACAUCAUAACAACAAACUAAGCAAAGCCCACAGCAAGAAUUUGAAGAAACACAUUUAACAAAAAAAGAACUCAAAUCAUCUCUACUUAACAAAAAGAGAGCGGAUGCUCCGCAUAGUCUGACAGUUGAGAUCAACAACUAAAAGCAGUAGUAUUGUGGAAAAGAAAAACAACAUAGUUCGUCCAAAAUCCAUGAAUGUUUCUUCCUCUCCUCAUUCUCUCAAGCUUUACUUCUCAGAGGAAUUGGGCCCUCUCUUCUUGCCAAAU